rnacentral:rRNA from 1 species
AUUGAACGCUGGCGGCAGGCCUAACACAUGCAAGUCGAACGAGUGGCGGACGGGUGAGUAAUGUCUGGGAAACUGCCUGAUGGAGGGGGAUAACUACUGGAAACGGUAGCUAAUACCGCAUACCAUCAGAUGUGCCCAGAUGGGAUUGGCUUGUUGGUGGGGUAACGGCUCACCAAGGCGACGAUCCCUAGCGGGUCUUAGAGGAUGACCAGCCACACUGGACAGGAGACACGGCCCAGACCCCUACGGGGGGAAGAAGUGGGAAAUAUUGGACAAUGGGCGCAAGCCUGAUGCAGCCAUGCCGGGUGUAUGAAGAGGGCCUUCGGGUUGUAAAGUACUUUCAGCGGGGAGGCGUUACCCGCAGAAGAAGCACCGGCUAACUCCGUGCCAGCAGCCGCGGUAAUUC